rnacentral:lncRNA from 1 species
CGGUAAUGCACCUUAACGUUGGAUGCCACCCGCCAUAAAACAUGAAGAAGAAGAAGAAGAAGAAGAAGACGAAGACAAGAACAGGUGGCGGCGGAAACUUGUGUUGGGGAGGAUUCAAU